rnacentral:rRNA from 1 species
CCUUACUGCUAUCGGGAUGGGAUUAAGACAUGCAAGUCGUGCGUCUCCGAGCAAUGGCGGAGACGCGGCGUACGGCUCAGUAGCACGUGGCUAACCUACCCUCGGGACGGGGAUGCCCCCGGGAAACUGGGGUUAAUUCUCGAUGGGUGAGGAGGCCUGGAAUGGUUCUUCACUGAAAGGGCGUUAGAGGCAUGCUCUCUAACGUUGCCCAAGGAUGGGGCCGCGACCGAUCAGGCUGUUGGCGAGGCAACGGCUCACCAAACCUAUAACCGGUACGGGCCGUGAGAGCGGGAGCCCGGAGAUGGGCACUGAGACAAGGGCCCAGGCCCUACGGGGCGCAGCAGUUGCGAAAACUCCACAAUGCACGAAAGCGUGACGGGGCUAUCCCGAGUGCCGUCCGCUGAGGAUGGCUUUUCCCUAGUGUAUAAAGCUGGGGGAAUAAGGAGAGGGCAAGCCUGGUGUCAGCCGCCGCGGUAAUACCAGCUCUCCGAGUGGUGGGGAUGCUUAUUGGGCCUAAAGCAUUCGUAGCCGGUUGGGCAAGUCCUCCGUUAAAUCCAGCGAUUCAAUCGUUGGACUGCGGGGGAUACUGUCCGGCUUGGGGGCGGAAGAGGCCGACGGUAUUCUCGGGGUAGGGGUGAAAUCCUAUAAUCCCGGGAGGACCACCAGUGGCGAAGGCUGUCGGCUAGAACGCGCCCGACGGUGAGGGAUGAAAGCUGGGGGAGCGAACCGGAUUAGAUACCCGGGUAGUCCCAGCUGUAAACGAUGCAGGCUAGGUGUUGGCGCGGCUACGUGCCGCUCCAGUGCCGCAAGGAAGCCGUUAAGCCUGCCGCCUGGGAAGUACGGCCGCAAGGCUGAAACUUAAAGGAAUUGGCGGGGGAGCAUCACAAGGGGUGAAGCUUGCGGUUU